UCUCUCUCAUGCCAACCCAUUUUCUCUUCUUCUCCAAAACCCACGGCCAUAAAACCCACAAAACCUACCCACAGCCCCCAUUGCUUGGAGGAAGCUAUUGCCGGAAAAAGCUUAUGGAAGUCAUGCCGAAGAAGCCCCAUGGAAGCUAUGGUCAGUAAAGCCAAAGCCACCUCCAAGAAACUCCCGUGAAAAUCAUCUCUCUAGGUUUUGGAUAUCUCAGACAAAAACAAGGCAAAUAGGGCAAAGCAAGUGAUAAAGCAUACAUCGGGAUAAAAAAUUUAUGCUCAAAUUUGAUAUGAACAGGUUGAAAAUUUAUUAUUAAUAUGAUUUGUUUGUACAUAAAUAAUUCAUCAUAAAUAACUCUAUUGUUUUACUUGUAAGAAUAAGCACAAAAGAAGGAGGAUCAAAGUGAGCCCAAUAGAAUUGAGAUGUUUGCCUUGACACACACAAGAAAAGAUGGGACGCUUGUUGAUGAUCAUUCUAAGGAGAUUAUGGAUCAAUUUCAGCAAUUACUAUCCCAACCUAAGGGGACAUCUUCUUCUACUUCUGCAUCAUCUAGAGCAUCUACAUCUGUAGCAUUUACAUAUGUAGAUGAGAUAUAUACUUAAGUCAUGGGUCCAGAGAGGCAUGGUCGUGUUCGAGGGUAUGGAUUUGGUCCUACUCCUACCUCAAUCUUUGGUUCUACUAGUAGAAGGCGAUUAGGAGUUAUUCUUUCAACACAAAUUGAAAACGCCCAAGAGAUGCUAAUAGCUGCAGAACAAAAGUUUACAACUGCAACUGAAGAACUCUCAAAUAUGAAAGAGGAACUCUCACAUGUGAAAGAAACAUUUGAAGAAAGGUUGAUAGAAGUUCAAAGGAAGACACGAGAAGAAGUGAAAGAAGAGUUUGAAGAAAAAAUGAUGGAAAUGCAAAGAAAAAUGCAAGCACAAAUUCAAGAACAAAUGAUGCAACAAUUUUAGCAAAAGCAGUAGAAAUUUGAAGAUUUUGCUACAUCUUUAUAUGAUAAAUUCUCUUAACUUUUUUGAAAAUUAUGCUACUUAUUUAUAUGAUAGAUUCUCCUAACUUUUUUUUGCUUUCUAUGACUAUUAUGUAAUGUUUGGUUGAUUUGUUAUAUUAUGUUAGAAUGUGAAACUAAAUUUGAAUCUCUUUGUUAUUUGUUUGUU